CUACGGGGUGCUGCAGUGGGGAAUAUUGCACAAUGGGGGAAACCCUGAUGCAGCAACGCCGCGUGGAGGAAGACGCAUUUCGGUGUGUAAACUCCUUUUCUAAUAGAAGAAGUUGACGGUAUAUUAGGAAUAAGCACCGGCUAACUCCGUGCCAGCAGCCGCGGUAAUACGGAGGGUGCAAGCGUUACUCGGAAUCACUGGGCGUAAAGGACGCGUAGGCGGGUUGGAAAGUCAGGUGUGAAAUCCUACAGCUUAACUGUAGAACUGCACUUGAAACUUCUAAUCUAGAGUAUGGGAGGGGGAGAUGGAAUUAGUGGUGUAGGGGUAAAAUCCGUAGAUAUCACUAGGAAUACCUAAAGCGAAGGCGAUCUCCUGGAACAUUACUGACGCUAAGGCGUGAAAGCGUGGGGAGCAAACAGGAUUAGAUACCCGCGUAGUC
rnacentral:rRNA from 1 species